AAAUACAAGUAUGGUAUAAUCACAAAGUGCUUGGUGACUCUCCCAAAACAAACCCAAUGAAAGAGGGGAAAGGAGGAUGCCAAGAUAUGAUCCCAAUGCUAAUGCUUAUGAUAGAAUUUCAUGAGGGAUCUUAGGGUCAAAAUUGGGGUCUUACACCUGCGCCCAAAACUGUGAAGCAAGUCAGAGGUUUUCACGGCCGCUUGAAAUAU
rnacentral:lncRNA from 1 species